UAGGUUUCCUUCGGGAGACUGAGAGCGGCGCACGGGUGCGGAACACGUGUGCAACCUGCCUUUAUCAGGGGGAUAGCCUUUCGAAAGGAAGAUUAAUACCCCAUAAUAUUUUGAAUGGCAUCAUUUGAAAUUGAAAACUCCGGUGGAUAAAGAUGGGCACGCGCAAGAUUAGAUAGUUGGUAGGGUAACGGCCUACCAAGUCUACGAUCUUUAGGGGGCCUGAGAGGGUGAUCCCCCACACUGGUACUGAGACACGGACCAGACUCCUACGGGAGGCAGCAGUGAGGAAUAUUGGACAAUGGGUGAGAGCCUGAUCCAGCCAUCCCGCGUGAAGGAUUAAGGUCCUAUGGAUUGUAAACUUCUUUUGUAUAGGGAUAAACCUAGAUACGUGUAUCUAGCUGAAGGUACUAUACGAAUAAGCACCGGCUAACUCCGUGCCAGCAGCCGCGGUAAUACGGAGGGUGCAAGCGUUAUCCGGAUUUAUUGGGUUUAAAGGGUCCGUAGGCUGAUUUGUAAGUCAGUGGUGAAAUCUCACAGCUUAACUGUGAAACUGCCAUUGAUACUGCAAGUCUUGAGUGUUGUUGAAGUAGCUGGAAUAAGUAGUGUAGCGGUGAAAUGCAUAGAUAUUACUUAGAACACCAAUUGCGAAGGCAGGUUACUAAGCAACAACUGACGCUGAUGGACGAAAGCGUGGGGAGCGAACAGGAUUAGAUACCCUGGUAGUCCACGCCGUAAACGAU
rnacentral:rRNA from 1 species